rnacentral:rRNA from 1 species
AUGCUUUCAGGAUCCCAGCAAAGAAAGAAGCUGAUAAUGAUGGAGAUACCUAGCGUUUUCGGUCCCAGAGAUAGGUCCAUCACUCUCUACGAGGGCAUCAAUCAUCAUCCAGAUCCAGAUUCCAUUUUCAGGAGUAAGACCGUCGCACAGCUGGGAUGUGGCAAUGGUUGGAUAUCCAUUGCGCUUACAGAAAAAUGGUGCCCUUCCAAGGUCUAUGGUCUGGAUAUUAACCCAAGGGCAAUCAAGAUUGCAUGGAUAAAUCUUUAUUUGAAUGCACUAGACGACGAUGGUCUUCCAAUUUACGACAGGGAGGGGAAAACACUACUUGAUAGAGUUGAAUUCCAUGAAUCUGAUCUUCUUUUUUACUGUAGAGACAACAAGAUAGAACUUGAUAGCAUUGUUGGAUGCAUACCGCAGAUUCUUAAACCCAGUCCAGAGGCAAUGUCAAAGAUUAUCACUGAAAAUUUAAGCAAGGAGUUCGGGAACAUUUUCCGGACCUCCGGACCCCUCCGGGGUUUUGUGGAGGACCAAUUUGGCCUCGGGUUGAUUGCUCGGGCAGUUGAAGAAGGGAUGGCUGUCAUAAAGCCUACGGGUACUAUGAUAUUCAACGUGGGAGGCCGACCAGGUCAAGGUGUCUGUGAAUGCCUAUUUCUACGCCGUGGAUUUCGCAUCACUAAGCUCCGGCAAACAAAAAUUAUGCAGGCUGCGAACACAGAUAUUUCAGCCUUAGUUGAAUUUGAGAAAAAUAGCCCGCAUCGCUUUGAGUUCUUCAUGGGUUCUGUGGGGGAUCAGCCCAUUUCUGCACGCACUGCCUUGGCGUACAUGAAAUCUGGUGGCCAUGUUUCACAUGCUUUGUCCGUGGAUAGCUGUCAACUUCGCCAACCCAACCAGGUGAAUAAACUAAUUGAGAUACUUAAAAAUGGAUUCCAUGAACUCAGCAGGUCCCUUGAUUUGUCCUUCGCUGAUGAUUCUAGUGCCCAUGAAAAGAUCACAUUCCUAGUAUACCUAGCUAGUUUCUUAAAUGCAAACAAGCCGAAUCCUUGUCAACCUCCAGCUGAAUGAUUGAACUUCCGGAAUCUUGUUGCUGAAUUUAUUAAGAGCUACCACUACAUCCCAUUAAAUGCUGAUAAUUUUGUUGUAUUCCCUUCCCGUGCGGUGGCAGUCGAAAAUUAUCUUCGACUGUUCUCACCAGCGCUUGCAAUUGUUGAUGAACAUUUGACCAGGCACUUGCCCAUGCAAUGGUUAGGAUAUUCAGAAAUCGAGGGAAGAAUAGAUUGCAACAAUGCUGAAGGCGUGAUCACUGUAAUUGAAGCACCACGCCAAUCAGAUUUACUGAUUGAGUUGGUCAGAAAACUGAAGCCUCAGGUUGUCGUUACUAGCAUUACCCAGUUUGAGGCUAUCACCAGUGCUGCUUUCUCGGACAUACUAAGCGCAACAGAAGAUGUUGGUUGCCGGUUGUUCCUAGAUAUUUCAGAGAACCUGGAGUGGUCUUGUCUGCCAAGCUCAAAUGGUGUGUUGAAAUAUCUUGUUGGAAACACCCUACCUUCACAUGCGGCUAUAUUGUGGGGUCUAGUAAAAAACCAGGUUUAUUCUGAUCUGGAAGUUGCUUUUGCCAUUUCUGAGGAUGCUUCUGUCUGCAAGGCAUUGUCACAAACAAUUGAGCUAUUGGAAGGAAAUACUUCUGUGAUCAGCCAGCAAUAUUAUGGCUCUCUUUUCCAUGAGCUGCUGGCGUUUCAAAUUGGUGACCGUCAUCAGCAUGCACAUCAAGUGGCGGCAGAAAAGAUACCUGAGAAGAUGAUACAGUUUUCUAAUUCAGCCAUGUCUACCCUAAAAGAAGCUGAAUUUUUCACUCCUGAUUCCAAGGAUUCUAGUGUCAUUCAUAUGGAUUUAGACCGCAGCUUCUUACCAGUACCUUCUCCACUGGGCGCCUCCAUUUUAGAAAGUUUUGCUCGGCGGAACAUCAUGGAUUUUGAAACUGACGUUCGUUCCAGCAUCGAACAGCUGGUGGGAGAUAACUAUGGUUUCCCAGGAGACAGUAAGGAAAUUAUAUAUGGCAGGCUGGCAGCACCUACACUCUUCAACAAGCUUGUCCUUUGCUGUAUGAGGGAGCAAGGCGCCUUCCUUUUCCCCAUGGGCACCAAUGGGCACUAUGUCUCGGCAGCAAAGUUUAUGAACGCAAAAACAUUGACGAUUCCAACAAAUGUAGGUUCAGGCUUCAAGAUUGAACCGACCGCUCUACGAGCAGCUCUGGAGAAUGUACAUUGGCCAUGGGUGUAUAUUUCUGGCCCUACAGUUAACCCUUCCGGUUCCCUGUACAGUGAUGAGGAGAUAAAAGAUUUACUUUCUGUUUGUGCCGAACAUGGAGCUAGGGUAGUGAUAGACACCUCCUUCUCUGGUCUGGAGUUCCAAACCGGAGAUGGCUGCAGCCUGUGGAAUUUGGAUAGUUUUUCUUAUAAUAUUGCUUCAUGUCUCGCACUCCGCGUUUUUAUGCUCAGGGAGCUGUCCCUUCAGCUGACCAUGAGUGGGUUUGACUUCGGGUUUAUGAUUUACAUUGACCCGUCCUUGAUCAAACAUAUGUUAACAAGCCUGAGUCAACCACAUCGCACAUUGAAGUAUACUUUCAGAAAACUGUUGUGUCUUAAGAACAAGAGGGACCAGCGCUUCUCUGAUCUCAUCAAGGAGCAAAAGGAAACACUGAAGCAUCGUGCCGACAAGUUGACUAAGACACUCGAGAGCUGUGGCUGGGAUGUCGUCGGCUGCCAUGGUGGUAUCUCAAUGCUGGCGAAACCGAUGGCCUACAUCGGCAAAUCGUUCAAGAUAGAUACUUUCGAAGGUGAGCUCGAUGGCUGCAACAUCAGGGAAGCGCUCCUUAGAUCCACUGGGCUCUGCAUAUCCAGCAGCAAGUGGACUGGGAUACCGGACUACUGCCGGUUCAGCUUUGCUCUCGAGAGCAGCGAAUUCGACCAGGCAAUGGACUGCAUAACUCGGUUCAGGGAGUUGGUUCUAAGAGAAUAUGUACAGAUGAAUGUUAGUAGUAGCUAG